rnacentral:rRNA from 1 species
GAUGAACGCUGGCGGCGUGCCUAAUACAUGCAAGUCGAGCGAACGGACGAGAAGCUUGCUUCUCUGAUGUUAGCGGCGGACGGGUGAGUAACACUUGGAUAACCUACCUAUAAGACUGGGAUAACUUCGGGAAACCGGAGCUAAUACCGGAUAAUAUUUUGAACCGCAUGGUUCAAAAGUGAAAGACGGUCUUGCUGUCACUUAUAGAUGGAUCCGCGCUGCAUUAGCUAGUUGGUAAGGUAACGGCUUACCAAGGCAACGAUGCAUAGCCGACCUGAGAGGGGGGUCGGCCACACUGGAACUGAGAAACGGUACAGACUCCUAAGGGGAGCAACAGUAAGGAAUCUUCCGGAAUGGGGGAAAGCCGGAAGGAAGAAAGGCGCGUGAGUGAUGAAGGACUUCGGAUCGGAAAACUCUGUUAUUAGGGAAGAACAAAAGUGUAAGUAACUGGGCACAUAUUGACGGUACCUAAUCAGAAAGCCACGGCUAACUAAGUG